UGCGUAGGCGGCUAUAUUAGUCGGGUGUUAAAUCCUCGGGCUCAACCCGAGAAUCGCAUUCGAAACGGUAUAGCUAGAAGAAGUCAGAGGUAAACAGAACUCUCGGUGUAGGGGUGAAAUCCGUUGAUAUCGAGGGGAAUACCAAAUGCGAAGGCAGUUUACUGGGACUUUCUUGACGCUGAGGCACGAAAGCGUGGGUAGCGAACG
rnacentral:rRNA from 1 species